rnacentral:rRNA from 2 species
UAGGGAAUCUUCGGCAAUGGACGAAAGUCUGACCGAGCAACGCCGCGUGAGUGAAGAAGGUUUUCGGAUCGUAAAACUCUGUUGUUAGAGAAGAACAAGGACGUUAGUAACUGAACGUCCCCUGACGGUAUCUAACCAGAAAGCCACGGCUAACUACGUGCCAGCAGCCGCGGUAAUACGUAGGUGGCAAGCGUUGUCCGGAUUUAUUGGGUGUAAAGCGAGCGCAGGCGGUUUCUUAAGUCUGAUGUGAAAGCCCCCGGCUCAACCGGGGAGGGUCAUUGGAAACUGGGAGACUUGAGUGCAGAAGAGGAGAGUGGAAUUCCAUGUGUAGCGGUGAAAUGCGUAGAUAUAUGGAGGAACACCAGUGGCGAAGGCGGCUCUCUGGUCUGUAACUGACGCUGAGGCUCGAAAGCGUGGGGAGCAAACAGG